GUCAUGGUAGAUGGUACCAUACUAGGUUAUGACUAAGAGGGGUAAACUUUAAACUGUGCCCAUUUUACAUUUCAUGGUGCCUUUUUUUACUUGUACAAUUGCCCCAUAACGAACUUCCAGAACCGCCGAUCAAUCUGAACUGAACACUUAUUCAGUGCUGGGGCUCUGGAAUCAGGCAUAUGAUCUGGUCAUCAAUGUACCAGCUAACAUCUCUGUCUGGGUCUGAAAUCUUUGCCUGUUUGACUGAUUGCAUCCAUAGCUACGAUAGUAAUCUCCUCUAGGCUGUGGCAUGGACAAUCAAACACCCCCUUAGCAGCCUUGGUUUACUCCAGUGUGGAGGGUCACUUUCUGAUGUGACCCACCAAAGUGAACUGACUGGAUUUCAUUGGAGUAUUUACAAGAAUAGUUCUCGCUGAAAUCAAUGUGGAUGAGGCAGUCUUUGGCAUUGAGGCUCUCUCUGAGAUUCCUGUACUCAUUGUACUGCCAGCAAAUAUUAAAAAUCUGUCUCCUGAAGUUAAAGAGACAGUGCUGUCAGACAUUUCUUCUGAUUAUUUGCCUGCAUCUUUGAUGACGGACCCUCCAUGCCUUAUGCUCUCUUCUCUAACCCCUUUCACUUAAAUCAUUUAUUCUCAUUCUUUUUUUCUUUUCCUUUUUGUUUCAAUUUCUCUGGGCAUAGCUGUGCUUCCUUUUCUGCAAAUAUUCCAACCCAGUCUCACGGCAGUUCGUGACAUAGUCACGGAAUUUAAUCUAUUGGUUCGUGUUCGUGGACACGAAUUUCCCCAUUUUUUCGUGUCACGCAGCACGACUUUCGAUCUAAUGUAUUUCAAUAGGACGCAUCUUUCGUGCCUGCACCACGUUUUUCUUUCUGCCACUCAGAAGCAUUGUUUUUUCUCAUUUGUUAUUCAUUUUUAAACUUUAAGCACUACAUUACUCAACAUUUAACCAGGAGAUUUUAUCGUUGAGUUUAUUGCUUUAUAUUCUGUAGGCUACUAACCAUUAUGCUACGGUUUCUUUUCUGAGAAAUGCCGUUUUUCCAUCUAUUUGGUGUGUCAAAUCGGACAGUAAACUAAAUAUUACAGUACCCAUGAGCCUUAUCUACUUUUACUAUGUUGAAGAUGUCAGCUAAAACUACCUGAUGACCCACCGCCGAUUCUCUUUUAAUGAUAUCCUCAUCUUUCUUUCAACACAUAAACACGAGAGUGUGCUUGAUAAUUCAACAAUACGAUGUUCAUGACCAUCAGUUUUAUUUGAUUCUCCUUCUAUUGUGAGAACGGGGGUUUAGUUGUGGUUAUUAAUUAAAUUAAAAUCAAAUAAAAAAUAAAUUAAAUUAAUUAGUGGACGCCCGCAUUACCCGUGAGCCUCAGCAUCCGUUGCUAUGGAGACGGAGCCAGUCCGCUUCGCGAUUGGGUGAUUUCUGCAGGCCGCGAAUUCUCCGUCAUUGCGCUCAAACCACUUUCCAGAUCCUGUCAAACUUCACCUUCACCCUAUAGAUGCACCUGAUUCCCAAAACCCAAAGGCACUUUUAAGAGCCAACCUCUAUCUAUCUUCAUCAUUUUCUAUCACUGUCCAUCUAUCUCACCAUCUAUAUUUCUAUCCAUCUCUUCAAACUCUAUCUGUCAUCUAUCUCAAUUUCUCUAUUUCUCAAUAUCUUUCCUCUCUUUCUGUCUUUGUCAGUCAGUCAGUCUGUCUGUCUGUCUCUGUCUGUGUUGCAGUGGCCACCAGACAUAUCCUUGACUCACAGGACCAAGAGGGGAGACGCAUGGCUCUUGAACUGAAACAUGACCACGUUCUAGCCGAGUUUUUAUACACCUCAAUCAUUUUAUACAUACAUAACAUACAGAUGGGAGACAAAUUGAAGUAAAAACAUAAUGAAUGUGGAAGGAUGAGUGUAUUAGAUUUCAGACAGGUAUAUUGCAUGAUGCAGUUAAGCAAUUAACAUCCUAUCAUGCUCUGUGGCAUAUGUAAAUGAGGGAAUAUAUUUUGGAAGAAUGGAGCUCCAUCCCCCUGAGUUACAGAGACUUCUAUGCCAAGGCUCUUUCAAGCCAUUAACACCUUACUAACACACUGUUGUGUUUUCUUUUCACUAGUUACAUUUCUUUUGGUUCCAGUACAUUUAACAACAUCAGUCUUACAAGAAAUAUUCACUCCAACACACAGAGAGCAGCUUUGGAGAGGAAACGUGCAGGCUCUGGAGGAGACCCUCCACGGACCUCUAAAAAGGUCUUUGUAGGUCGUGGCAAGCCGAGGGGAAGGCGAGGAGGGCGACGCUACAGUCACACACCCCCCGGUUGAGUGUUCCCUGUCAUCCAGUGUGGAGGUUCCCCCAUGAGCAAGCUUGCAUUUUGCCAACUGUGAAGGUGCCAGACUGCUCCUGUGAAGGCACAAACUUCACUGUAUUACCAGGCAAACCAGUGAUUUUGAUUACCAUCAAUGGGCGUUUUGACUUGCAUCAGCCACUAUAUGAAUGUCAAACAUGCCAGCAGCAGUGGACUCCUGAUUCGAAGGACCUCCUUAGGAGUGGAUAUUGGCCAGCCUCUGUCAGCAAUUCAACGCUGUAUACACUGGACCUCCUGAGCUCCUUUCAGGAGCUCAAGGUCAUCGCUCCAGGAUUCUCCAGACAAGCCUUUGCAAAGCUGCUGGAGCAUCGGACUAAGUGUGGAGGAAGAAGGCAUGUUAGUGUUGGGAGAUGCUCCGCUUUACUUCAUUUACUGCGAUGCAAAACGUGCUGCAACAACUUCCACUGUCCAGUGUUCUUAAACUGACCAGACGGCACAAGUUGAAUGCACAGCUUCAAAUUCACUUCAAAAAGGCUGUUGUCCAUAGAGUAAGUUGACAAGCAGAAUCACCCCAGGACAAUGGAAGCUGAUCAAAAACAAGGAGCCACGGAGCACAGGAGACCUCUGCGCUGCACAACAACUAAAAGUCUUCAAGGGUUUAGUGGAAGAGCCGUGCUUUCUGAUAUUGAAAGAGGAAGACCAGGAAAAAGCCCUUCUUCAACUUUCACAGGCUGAAACGGAUGAUGACACACAACUGGCCAAAGAGCCUUUAGUGUUUUGCUU